CCCACGUGAGGGGGCCAACCAAGCAUCCCCAGCCCUGGGGCCACCCAGCCCGCUCCGGAGGGAAGGGGCAGGGAAAAAGGGCAUCCCGGGGCCAAACCUCAUGCCGGAUCCUCCGGCUUUCCCCCCAUUUCCAGGAUAUCGUUUCGCAUCAGGGACACUCGUCUCCACACCUCCUACCUCAAAGUCUUGCGCACCUACCCUUAACGUCUCUCCAAAGCAACUGAAUUAAAGCGCCUACUGGCCUUGGCGGCGCAGAUAAUACACAGGCAUCUUAUGAAGAUUAACCAACAUAUAGAAGAAUAUGAAGAAAGUGAAAAUCAUCAGAAGCCCCACAGUCUUGGAUGACCAUAGUUGAUAUUCUGAAGAUGUCAGAGUGGGAUUUGCAGUAGACUCCCAGCAGCUCCCAGGAGCACCAAGUGAGAUGCCUGCCAGGCCCACUGUGUCCACUGCCCUCUGGUAGCACCUGAGGAUCAUGGGUAAGUUCUCUGAUUCCAAAGCUGCAUGGAUUUGUAUUUUGAGCUUUCCAAGUCUGAGCAAAUUUUAGAUCUAAACAGGGUUCAGCAGUUAUGACAGAUAUUGGACUGGGUCCAUGAUUGUACUGGAUCUGAUCAUUAACUAGAUUGGGUCCAGUUAGAGGCCUCAGAUGCCUGACUGGAUCAAACAGAAACUGGAAGUAAAUGGCAAUAGUGCAGGGGCUGGGAACUCUGGCUUUAGGAAAUUCAGGGGAUUUUUGUGUUCUAUUCUCUUUCUAUCUUUUUCUUAUGUGCUUAGGUAGGGAAAAUCAUUGGUUAAGUUGCUCAAGGGUAUCUGAGGGCCAACGUCCAGAUUCAACAUAAAAAAUGAGACCCCUUAAUUUCUGAAGAACUGAAUUCUCCACCUUCUGGCUAUGCCUGCAUUUGCAUGUGUAAGUAUUAGGCCCUGGAAGCAGCAAACACUUAGAAAAAUGGCAAAAUUGACCGGGCGCGGUGGCUCAAGCCAGCACUU